rnacentral:rRNA from 1 species
UACGUAGGGGGCAAGCGUUGUCCGGAAUCAUUGGGCGUAAAGAGCGUGUAGGCGGUCCGGUAAGUCGGCUGUGAAAGCCCAGGGCUCAACCCUGGGAUGCCGGUGGAUACUGUUGGGCUCGAGUCCGGAAGAGGCGAGUGGAAUUCCCGGUGUAGCGGUGAAAUGCGCAGAUAUCGGGAGGAACACCAAUGGCGAAGGCAGCUCGCUGGGACGUGACUGACGCUGAGACGCGAAGGCGUGGGGAGCGAACGGG